rnacentral:rRNA from 1 species
UACGUAGGCAGCAAGCGUUGUUCGGAGUUACUGGGCGUAAAGGGUGUGUAGGCGGUUGUUUAAGUUUGGUGUGAAAUCUCCCGGCUCAACCGGGAGGGUGCGCCGAAUACUGAGUGACUAGAGUGCGGGAGAGGAAAGUGGAAUUCCUGGUGUAGCGGUGAAAUGCGUAGAUAUCAGGAGGAACACCGGUGGUGUAGACAGCUUACUGGACCACUUCUGACGCUGAGACACGAAAGCGUGGGUAGCAAACAGG